UAGGUACAGCUGCUCAUCUGUCACCAUUUUCCUCAGUGAUGACCAUCUCCCUGAGGAAGAGAACGACCACACAAAGGCAGACUGUGAAAAGCACCCACACUGUAACUGGAUAUACUGCAUCUGAGCUGAUUGGGAACAGGACACACUGGCGUAGAGAGACACAAAGUGAAGAGAGCUGGUGAGUGUGAAUGCAGACUCACUUCUU